rnacentral:tRNA from 1 species
GCAUCGUUGGUCUAGUCGGCUCAAGACCUCGGCUUGCCAUGUCGAGAACAUCGGUUCAAAUCCGAUACGAUGCU